rnacentral:snRNA from 1 species
AGCUUUGCGCAGUGGCAGUAUCGUAGCCAAUGAGGUUUAUCCGAGGCGCGAUUAUUGCUAAUUGAAACAAGGGGCAUAAGCAGCUUUAAUCAUGCGUUAUGUUAUUAAAACAGCAACCCUAAAUUUUCCUGACGGCAGCUUUUGCUG